GUCAUACCUUAUGUAACUACAGCACCGCUUCAGACCAGGAGCAUGACACUGGUAAGGGACAUUUGUGCUGUGGAUGGAGCUGUCAGGAGCCUGGUGGACAAAACAUCAUGACAAAAUGAAAGGGAAAGAUGGACUUCAAACAGCAGUCUGGAGAAAAAUUGAAUUCAACAACACUAUUUAAGAUUGCAUGCAUAGAGAGUUCCGGUCAAGAUGGUGGAGUAGACAGUUCCUAGUGUUGCUCUCUCCCACAAAGCGACCAACUUGCAACUAUUAAAAAGCAACAACAGGAGACAUGAGAUCAGUGCCAAAAUAGGCGGGAGCGGCAUGCCACAGGACCCCAUCCCAGGCCAGUGUUUGCCACCCAGAGAGGCCUGAGAGCCAUGGGGGCCACACACCCUGAGACAGCCAAUCCAGAAAAGGCAGGCACCACGAGACCU